GAUGAAUGCUAGCGAUGUGCUUAAUGCAUGCAAGUCGAACGGGGAAGAAGCUGAAAGGUUUCUUUCUAGUGGCGAACGACUGAGUAACGCGUAAGUGACCUACCCCCAAGAGGAGGAUAACCCUGAGAAAUUGGGGCUAAUACUGCAUAGGGUGCCAGAGUAAUGUCUGUCACCAAAGUCGUUGGCGCUUGGGGAUGGGCUUGCGUCCUAUCAGGUAGUUGGUGAGGUAAUGGCUCACCAAGCCGAUGACAGGUAGCUGGUCUGAGAGGAUGGUCAGCCAGAUGGGGACUGAGACACGGCCCCAACUCCUACGGGAGGCAGCAGCAAGGGAUAUUGCGCAAUGGGCGAAAGCCUGACGCAGCGACAUCGCGUGGAGGAAGAAGGCUCUCGGGUUGUAAACUCCUUUUCUUGGUGAAGAGAACGGACGGUAACCAAGGAAUAAGUCUCGGCUAACUACGUGCCAGCAGCCGCGGUUAAUACGUAGGAGGCGAGCAUUAUCCGGAUUUAUUGGGCGUAAAGGGCGUGUAGGCGGCUUGCUAAGUUGGCUGUGAAAUCUCUCUACUUAAUAGAGAGGGGUCAGCCAAUACUGGGAAGCUUGAGGACAGCAGAGGAAGGUAGAAUUCCCGGUGGAGCGGUGAAAUGCGUAGAUAUCGGGAGGAAUACCAGUGGCGAAGGCGGCCUUCUGGGCUGUUUCUGACGCUGAGGCGCGAAAGCGUGGGGAGCGAAGCGGAUCAGAUACCCGCGUAGUCCACGCCGUAAACUGUGGACACUAGGUAUGGGGGGUAUCGACCCUCUCCGUGCCGAAGCUAACGCUUUAAGUGUCCCGCCUGGGGACUACGGCCGCAAGGCUAAAACUCAAAGGAAUUGACGGGGGCCCGCACAAGCAGCGGAGCGUGUGGUUUAAUUCGAUGCAACACGAAGAACCUUACCAAGGCUUGACAUACUGGGAGUAGGAACCCGAAAGGGGGACGGCCUGUAAAGUCAGGAACCAGCACAGGUGCUACAUGGCUGUCGUCAGCUCGUGCCGUGAGGUGUUGGGUUAAGUCCCACAACGAGCGCAACCCCUAUUGCCAGUUAAAUUUUUCUGGCGAGACUGCCCAGAAAUCCUGGGAGGAAGGAGGGGAUGACGUCAAGUCAGCAUGGCCCUUAUGCCUUGGGCGACACACACGCUACAAUGGGUGGUACAACGGGAGGCCAAGGAGCGAUCCCGAGCUAAUCCCUAAAAACCACCCUCAGUUCGGAUUGCAGGCUGAAAUUCGCCUGCAUGAAGUCGGAGUUGCUAGUAACCGCAGGUCAGCAUACUGCGGUGAAUGCGUUCUCGGGCCUUGUACACACCGCCCGUCACGUCAUGAGAGCCGGCAACACCUGAAGUCGAUGGGCUAGCCAUUAUAUGGAGGCAGUUGCCGAGGGUGGGGUUGGUGAUUGGGACG
rnacentral:rRNA from 1 species